GGUGCAUUCACUGGCACCUGUUGCCAGUCUGUAAUCAGUGGCGUUAUAGGUGCUGCUGUGAUUGUCACUUGCUUCCCUCCAAUAUUCUGCCAACACCAAUUCCUUCAAGUCUCCUGUGCUUUCCUAGUUGACAUGUGCGACGUAUUUUUGGUGGCUGUGGAAAUGGAGGGCGUGCUGGCAGCAGAGAAGAUUUGGAAGCAAAGUGGAAUUGGCAAGAGGGAGCUCAAGAGGAACACUUCCACUGGAAUCUUCCUUUUCUUAAAUCACUAUUAAAAUACUAGGUUCUGGAAAUGUAUAAUGCUCAUUGUAUUAAAUAUGAAUUGCUCAACUUUUUACAUGUACAGCAUAAGUCUGAGACCAAUCUGUCAGAAUUAAGAGAACUUCCAAGACACCUUGCCUGUAAACUGAAAUUUCUGCUUCCAUUGAUCCAAAUAAGGGACAUUUUAAGGAUUUAGAUACACAACUGCUGUGUCACUGUCACGACCUUGAAGUCCUGGGAAUUAUAGUUUGUCAGGACCUGUAGUGGGAGACUAUCAACUCCAUCCUCAAAAAGGCCCAGCAGAGGUUUGCAUCGGAGUAAGCGCGAACUGCCACAGCAGCUGUUGGGACAGCUGGAUAUGGUUUAGUCUGGUUUAGUACUGAUACAAAAAAGGACAAACUCCGACUGCAACAGACAAUCAGGACUGGUGUGGAAAAAUCCUCUGUACCCCCUUUAUCCAUCUUGAAAGACUUACACGCUGCCAAAUCUGAGGAAAGGACAUGCAAAAUCCUCUUGGAGCCUCCACUUCCUGGUUGCCACAUCUUCCAGUUCCUUCCAUUGGCUAAGCGCAAUCGAACCAUGCAAACGAAAAUCAACAGACAUCCCAACAGCUUCUUCCCUUUUGCCAUUACAUUGCUCGACACGAAGGAACUAUCCGUAUUGUGUUUUUAUGAUGUUAUGUCUCAAAAGUGUUGAUUGUUAAAGUUCGUCUAUUGUCAUAUGAGAGCACCUCCAACUACCGGAGAAAAAAUCCUUGUUUUUUUUGACAUACUUUCCAAAUAAAGAGGGUUGCAAUUCUGAUUCUAUAUUAACCUUUGCUUUGUUGAGAGGCUCCGAUGAGUCCUUCCUAAUUGGUGGCCCACUUCCAUAUAAAACCCACCAAUCGUUACUGAUUGGAGAGGAGGAACACUGCAAGCUGCACGUCAAUAAUCACUAGGUUUAAAAAUGUCGCCGGCUGUGAUUUUGUGGAAAAUAUAGUUUCUGUACUUCUUGUUCCUGUCUUUUGUUAUUGAACUUCUGACUCGUUGUAUACAUUGAAAUUGUUUGUGUUGGCAACACUUGUGAUUUGAAUUAGUUUUUAUUAGUGUUUACCUUUUUUGUUUUACUGUACAUUGAAGCAUAUUGCUUAGAUUUGUGCUUAUUCCUAUUCCGCAUGGGCACAUGUUGGCCUUUCGACCCGUGGCAUUUGUAUCCCACUCUAUGUAUGUUUUUCUUGCUAAAUUGAGCCAAAGUCCGACUCAGUCUGUACUGUUUUAGUAAACUGUACUUUUCUGGGAUUACAAUGUAGAUACUGCAGUAGUUAAACUACCUCUGCCACGUUACUCACGACGCAGCAAACAGCUGCUAAAACGGGAUUUGUUCUGUACUGAACUGGGAUGAAGGGAAAACUAUUGCAUUUGCUCAC